AUUGAACGCUGGCGGCAUGCUUUACACAUGCAAGUCGAACGGUAACAGGCCGCAAGGUGCUGACGAGUGGCGAACGGGUGCGUAAUGCAUCGGAACGUGCCCAGUCGUGGGGGAUAACUACUCGAAAGAGUAGCUAAUACCGCAUACGAUCUAUGGUUGAAAGCGGGGGACCGUAAGGCCUCGCGCGAUUGGAGCGGCCGAUGUCAGAUUAGGUAGUUGGUGGGGUAAAGGCUCACCAAGCCAACGAUCUGUAGCUGGACUGAGAGGACAACCAGCCACACUGGGACUGAGACACGGCCCAGACUCCUACGGGAGGCAGCAGUGGGGAAUUUUGGACAAUGGGCGCAAGCCCGAUCCAGCAAUGCCGCGUGAAGGAAGAAGGCCUUCGGGUUGUAAACUGCUUUUGUACGGAACGAAACGGCUCUGGUUAAUACCCGGGGCUAAUGACGGUACCGUAAGAAUAAGCACCGGCUAACUACGUG
rnacentral:rRNA from 1 species